rnacentral:lncRNA from 1 species
AUCCAGCAUUCCAUAGCCAUAAACAGACUGUAUGGGAUGGUGAAUUUUAAAAAUAUAUGGUUAUAUGCAGCUAAGUAUAAAUACAAUUACUCUAAACUUGCUGAAGAUAGCAACAUUUGUCUUCCUUCACUUCAGAUAAGAUUGACAGGUGGCUCUGUCUACGUCCCUUCUACCUGGAUGCCUUCUACCCUGCCUCCUCUGGAACUGUCAGUAGAAACUCUCUGGUCUGGGCAUUGUAGCUUCACAGACGGAUCAGGAAGGGCCCGGAAGAGUCCACUGUGACACCAGACAUUUAUGUCUUUAGGGAUCAAGAAACUGAGGAGUAGGCAGUAGAAGAGUCUUGGCUAAAUUUACAGAGGGAGAUCAAUCAGAAACAUUGAUACAUAUUAUUUGACGGGUCACUGACUUUCCAAAUCAUCUUGUAAAAUUUCUUUAGCCUCUUUCUGUGCUUCAAUAUUCACCUCUGUAAAAGAAAAUUCCAAUUAUACUUGCCCUCAUUAUCCUUAAAAAUAAUGUAAGCAUUAAGGUGCAAUGCUGAAAUAAUAACAUAAACAUACCAUGACAUAUUCCUGCUUAGUAUUCUUGGGAAAAAAUCUCUUACUCACUCACCUGUGGUGAGUAACAAUUUAUUUUGGGUCAAGCUAAAAGCAGCAAAGAUUUACGUAUAGUAAAUCCCCGGUACUACAAGGGUCACUUAAUUGGCCCCUUAUUUUUCCUCCUCCUCCAAGCUAUAAAACUCAAAAUGAAUUAAAUGCUCAUUACCAACUCCUAUAGUGGUGGAAUAAAGCAAGAAGUGUGAUGAUAACUCCAUUAGUUUUCAUCCUUACUAGUACCCAUUUCAAAAACUAUAUUGGGAAAGACAGUUGAAACUAUAGACUAAAAAAAAGAAAUAUUAAAUUACCUGUGAAUUUCACCAUACUUAACCAACAACUCUACCAUUG